UAUAAAAGACAAAUAAGCAAAUGAAAAAUGAUAUUUGAUCAUAUGGAUUGGAUUAUGAUCUAUUGUUUAGUUCAAUUUGAUCCACUCAUGUUGACCCAUUUAAAUUUUGAGCCACAUAUACACUACAAAGGUAGCAGCCAAAUGGUUUCUCUCCAUUGAUUUCUUCAAUACACAGUCCAAUUCCAUCACUUUUCCAUUAACCAUUGUUUCAAAGAACUCGAGAUAAUCUAUCAAGAAUGGUUCAAUUUCGCUGAUUAGAUCUGGACAUCCGAUAUGUAGAUGAACGUCAUAUUGGAGGAGAUGCCAACUAGUUCUUUGACUUGUCCAAUUUGCCUCGUCAAGUCCUCAAGUACACCCAGAUGAGUUGAAGCUAAUAUAGAAUAUAUUCCAGCAGAGUUGGCAAGCUCCACCUGUUCCUGGAGUGCUACCGAGUCAGAGUACAUGUGCUACGAUGUCUAAUAAAUGUUAGAGACUUUGCAGACAGAGUCGUGGGUAUAGGAUGUCGGUAUUGUGAACGGCUCCACUAGCCUAUGUGUCAUUUUAUGUUAUGUUAUAAAGUCCAUAUGAUCACAGAUUAUAUUGAUUUGAGUACGAUGAAAAAAGAAAAUUGAAAGCUUUACUAUGUUUUCCACUCCUUAUUAAUGCAAGAGUCUAAGGAAAUUAAGUACGUAAUAAGAGUCAGCGGGUUCGCUCGGCUCCGAGUAUGGGGUCGGGUGCCCAUCACACUCUAGUAAAGUCGGGGUGUGACAGAAAGAUUCAUUUCCUUUGCCCAGCAUCAAUCGCAUGAUCGACGCUACUGCGGGUCACAAUACAUUGAGUUUCCUCGAUGCCUACUCCGGGUACAAUCAAAUACAGAUGGACCCCGAGGAUCUAGAAAAAACCUCUUUCAUAACUAGGUCUGGCACGUAUUGUAAAAAUGUAAUGCUCUUCGGCCUAAAAAAUGCCGGUGCCACCUAUCAGCGGCUGGUCAACCGUAUGUUUGAGCAUCAAAUAGGGAAAUCAAUGGAAGUUUAUAUAUGGUUGUUAAGUCCCUGUGAGUAGAGGACCAUUUAAAGUAUUUGCAGGAAACUUUCAGUACAUGAAGGAAGUACAACAUGAAGCUGAACCCGGAAAGUGUGCCUUCGGUGUUGGUUCGGGUAAGUUUCUUGGAUUCAUGGUAUCGAAUCAAGGAAUCGAAAUCAACCCAGAUAAGAUAAAGGCAAUUGAAGACAUCACUGUGAUAAACGACAUCAAAGAAGUACAAAGGUUGACCGGGCGGAUAGCUGUCCUAAGUCGAUUCAUCUCCAGAUUCUCGGACAAAAGUCAUCGAUUUUUCUCAUUGCUAAAGAAAAAGACAGACUUUGCUUGGACCCCCGAAUGUCAGAUGGCCUUAGCAGAGCUCAAGAAGUACUUAUCAAGCCCGCCUUUGCUCCACACGCCAAAAGCGAACGAGUAGUUGUAUCUGUACUUGGCGGUGUUUAAGAUAACGGUAAGUGGUGUCCUUGUUCGAGAGGAAGAAGGUACAGAAUACCGAAUUUAUUAUAUAAGCAGAACCCUAGGUGACGCUGAAACCCUGUACUCGCAUUUAGAAAAACUUGCUUUGGCUUUAUUGAGCGCAUCUAGAAAAUUAAAACCUUACUUUCAAUGUCAUCCCAUAUGCGUCGUAAUAUCAUACCCCUUAAGGAAUGUCAUGCAUAAACCCGAACUCUCAGGCCGAUUAGCAAAAUGGGCUAUAGAGAUUAGCUGAUAUGAUAUUGAAUAUAGACCACGAACUGCUAUCAAAUUCCAAAUACUGGCGAACUUCGUGCCUACUUUGCGCCGACCAUGAUCCCCGAGGUUGAUAAAGAGACGCUUCUUACCUCGGGGAUUAGUUCGAGAAUCUGGACCCUUUACACAGACGGUGCUUCUAAUAUAAAAAGGUCCGGGUUAGGGAUCGUUCUCAAACCUCCCUCAAGUGACAUAAUAAGACAAUCUAUUAGAUUUAUUGAUUUGACUAACAAAGAAGCCGAGUAUGAGGCUAUGAUUGCAGGUUUAGAACUGGCUAAGGGCUUGAGAGCCGAAAUCAUAAAGGCCAAGUGCAAUUAUCUCCUGGUGGUCAACUAAGUGAAUGGAACAUUCGAAGUCAAGGACGACCGAAUGCGGAGAUACCUAGAAAAACUGCAAGUUGUCCUUCGCCGAUUUAAGGAAUGGACAUUGGAACACGUGCCUCGAGAUCAAAAUAAUGAGGCAGAUACCCUUGCAAAUGUGGGAUCAUAGGUAAAAUCGGAUGGGUUCAAUUCUGGAGCUGUGGUACAGUUGAUGAGAUCGGUCAUCGAGACCGGCCACGCCGAGAUAAACUCGACCAGCUCACUUAGGAUUGGAGGAACAAAUACAUAGACUAUCUUCAAACAGGAAAGCUAUCUGAUGCCAAGGAAUCGAGGGCCCUCCGAACCAAAGCAGCUAGAUUUUGUUUGGUCGAUGGCCAGUUAUACCGAAGGUCGUUCCACGGCCUCUUGGCGAGAUGUCAUGGACCGGGAGAAACCGACUACGUUAUGAGGGAAAUUCACGAGGAGACUUGCGAAAACCAUUCAGGAGCCGACUCACUGGUCACAAGCUGAUCAGAGCUGGUUACUAUUGGAACGAGAUGGAGGAGGACGCCAAAGCCUUCGCUCGAAAAUGCAACGAAUGCCAAAGGCAUGCUCCGUCAAUACACCAACUCGGGGAAGAGCUUCAUCCGGUCCUUUCUCCAUGGCCAUUCAUGAAAUGAGGUAUGGACAUAGUGGGGCCUUUGCCAUCGGCCCCAGGUAAGACACAAUUUAUUUUACUUAUGACUGAUUAUAUCUCUAAAUGGGUUAAAGCACAGACACUCGAGAAGGUCAGGGAGAAAGAAGGUAUUGAUUUCAUUUAUGACCAUUUAAUCUGUUGAUUCGGGGUACCCGCAGAAAUCGCAUGUGAUAACGGGAAGCAGUUCAUAGGCAGCAAGGUCAGCAAGUUUUCCGAUGAAUAAAAGAUCAAAAAGAUCUUGUCCACCCCAUAUCACCCAAGUACGAACGGCCAGGCUGAAUCUAUCAAUAAGAUUAUACUUCAGAAUCUAAAGAAAAGACUAACCGGCUCUAAGCACUGCUGGAAAGAGGUUCUGCCCGAGGUCUUAUGGGCCUACCGUACGACGGUAAGAUCAAGCACCGGGGAAACUCCGUUCUCCCUGGUAUACGGAGUCGAGGCUAUAAUACCCGUCGAAGUUGGUGAACCAAGCUUAAGAUUCCAAUAUGCCACUGAAGACUCGAAUCAUGAAGCAAUGUCUGCUAGUCUGAAUCUCGUGGACGAAAAGAGAGAAGCUGCUUAUAUCCGAAUAGCCACACAAAAACAAAAGAUGCAAAGAUAUUAUAGCCGAAGGGCUAACUUUAGGCAUUUUCAGAUUGGGGACUUGGUGCUAGGAAAGUCACACUCUACACCAAGAACCCCCACGAAGGAAAAUAGCCCCGAAUUGUGAAGGGCCAUAUCGAGUCACUGGAAUAACCGGGAAAGGUUCCUAUCAGCAUGAGAACGAAGACGGAAAACUGUUGAAAAAUAACUGGAACAUGGCACACCUAAAGAGGUAUUAUUAUUAAAGGUACGAAUAACCUUUUUUUUUCUUUCUCUCAAUCUAAUCAUGUAGGCAUACAACCUAAUGGACAUCGGGAGCAGCACAAUGAAAAUCGGAGAGUCAUAGACUUAGGACUGAAAGCACGUGCUGCACUCUUUUUCCCUUCGACCGUUUUUGUCCCGAAGUGGGUUUUCCGGUAAGGUUUUUAAUGAGGCAGUGCCGAAUAGCGUGCUACACAAAUAGAGCAGACCGAUCAAAGACCGGGGACUGUAGAUUGCACAUAUCAGACCAAUAGUACACGAGCCCUCACAUUUUGGACUCGAAUACUAGGAGACUAUUAUACCCUGGGUUAAGUGAUAACUAUGUAAAGUCAAGGCUUGAAAGAUAGGACUAUUUGUAAGGACCAAACGAUCGAUUGAAUCGUGUCCAAUUAGUUUGUUCUUGCCACGACAAUGAUUGUAGUUUCAUCUCCGGUCCAUCAAUAAAAAUCUUUUCUGGAUCAAAAUAGUCUAGUAUUGCCAAUAUUGCAUUUCGCUGGACCAGACUCCUAAAUAUGCGAACUACGUAAACAUUAAAGACUACGGUCUAAAAAAUCUUACGCAAACUUAAAAGACUACGAUCUAGACGGUUAAAGACUACUGUCUACAGUUAAAGACUACGGUCUAAAAACACAAAAAAUAUUGUGAUUUGGUCUAUCUUGCCAUUUAUAAAUAAAACAAUGAUCAAAGUCAACAGGGACUAAAAACCCGAUCAUGUCACGCGACUUGGAGACGUCUAAGUUCGCAAAUAAGGUCGUUUGCAUGCCGCAUACACUCGAUCACGAAUCAUUACCACUUAAAAUUUUAUUCUUGCUGAAGCAAUAAUGCCCAAGGCAAUGGCAUGAAUCGAACAAACAUCACACUGAGGAACAUUUUAUAAAAGGCAACGAAAAGUGAUGAAUAGGCCGAAUGAAAAUCUUUUAUACACACACACACACACACACACACACACAUAUAUAUAUAUAUAGAGAGAGAGAGAGUAUUUACAAAGGCUUAAACAAACAGCCUUAAAACAAAAAGAAACAUAAGGCUCCUAAGCCUAAGCUUCACCCGAACCUUCGGUCUCUCCCUCGGCUGACUCGAGGUCGCUAUCCAAAUCCUCAGGAUUGAACACAGCCUUCGCCUCUGCCUCGAGCCUCCUGUCCUCCUCGAUUAGAUCUAAUAAAUCCACUCUGGUAGCCUGAAUUUCUUCGAGAGCCUCUCUUCGAGAUAAACACCACACGUACUCGGCCCGAAGAACACUAGCCGUCUCGGCAGCGGUCACGUCGGCUUUAUACUGGUCCAGCAUACCGUCAUAACUCAAGAUUUGGCCAAGGGCUCUGUUAUAUCCCGUAUUUUUGAACGUCGGAUUAUUUGUAAGCUGAGGUAGGGCCCACACGUCAAGAUUUUUUUGGAACAUGUGACAAGUUAUAUGAAUCACAUAUGUAAAGUUAAACACAACUCAUGAAGGACCUUUGGGCCAAAUCAAAGUAGAAGCCCUCCAAACGAAUAUUUUUAAGAAAACGUUUUCGGGUGACCUGACUUUGAGGGGCAAAAACGGUAUUAUAGGUUUGGAAUUUGAAAAAAUACCAAGAAAUAGAAGUUGUAGAUAAUUGAAUUAGCUUUCCAACCAUAGGUCGUGGGUUCCCAGGUGACGUCGGUACAAGGAGAUAUGGACGUUUUAAGGUCGAAAGGUCAGUGGCUAGGCCCAACUCGGGGCCAACCGGGUUAGGCCCAUGACAAAAAAAAAGUAAUGAGGCCCAAAGAUUAGAGGGGUGGCCGGCCAUACAUGGCCCAAGGCCAUGGAUUUAUUUAAUUUCCAUGUGCUAAAUUAAAUAUAAGGGGUCUUAUCCUUAGAAGUUUCAAGAGAAAACAAGAGAAGGAGACAAACAAAGAAAGAAGAGCAAAAAAUUAAAGGCCAUUCGGCCAUGGCAUAGAAAAAUUUGCCCUUUGAAAUCUUGCUCCUAAAAUUAUUUUCUUGUGGUAUUCCUACUAAUUCAAGGGUCCUCUACAACGUGGUGUAGUUAUUUCGGAAGAUAGGACGCUUGUUUCAUCGAUAUAGCAACUUGGUCAAGUGAAGAAGAUAGGAGGAAAAUAUUUUGGAGGAAACGGGAAUUGAGUUUGCAGAGGCGUAAGGAGCGAAUAAGGUACAGACGCCCGAUUUGCUGACCCGUCCGCUUAGGAUUUUACUCUGCUAUUCGGGAGUGCUCUCUUAUCCGGAGCCUAUCUUUUGGUAUAGACCUUUUUCUAUUGUACAUAUAUAUGUUAUUUUAGGGGUAUGACGGGGCCCUGUCCCGUCCUAUGUUUCUGCUACUACUCGUAGAGGUCUGUAGACAUACAUGUGGGUUGUGUAUAUGUUUUGGGUUGAUAUGUUUUGCGAUA